rnacentral:rRNA from 1 species
GCCAGCAGCUAUGCCUGCAACUCACAGCUGGCAGCCCACUGAAGCAUAGCAGGUGUGAGCCUGGUCAGUACCUGGAUGGGAGACCUCCUGGGAAAACUAAGGUUGCUGCUGGAA